rnacentral:rRNA from 1 species
GACGAACGCUGGCGGCGUGCUUAACACAUGCAAGUCGAACGGAAAGGCCCUGCUUUUGUGGGGUGCUCGAGUGGCGAACGGGUGAGUAACACGUGAGUAACCUGCCCUUGACUUUGGGAUAACUUCAGGAAACUGGGGCUAAUACCGGAUAGGAGCUCCUGCUGCAUGGUGGGGGUUGGAAAGUUUCGGCGGUUGGGGAUGGACUCGCGGCUUAUCAGCUUGUUGGUGGGGUAGUGGCUUACCAAGGCUUUGACGGGUAGCCGGCCUGAGAGGGUGACCGGCCACCUUGGGCCUGAGAUACGGCCCAGACUCCUACAGGAGGCAGCAGUGGGGAAUAUUGCACAAUGGGCGGGAGCCUGAUGCAGCAGCGCCGCGUGCGGGAUGACGGCCUUCGGGUUGUAAACCGCUUUCGCCUGUGACGAAGCGUGAGUGACGGUAAUGGGUAAAGAAGCACCGGCUAACUACGUG